GCAUUCAAGCGAGGAGCGGGAAAUUACUCGACGCCAUUGAACAACGAGCUGUAGAGAGACAGAGGAAACUUCCAGGCUUCCAGGAAAAAGCCCAUCGCCAUCCCAGGAAACUACGCCUGCAGGGCGGAAGUGCAGAAGCCCGCGAAAGUCGCCCCGCAGCGACGCUCUCCAAAUGCCACAGGAUGACUAUCGGCAAAUCGAGCGAGGCAGGAUUAAUUGUAACUCGAUGUCUAUUACUGCCACUGCUGCUUAGUUCAAGCCAGCAACGUGGGUGAGGAGAUGAGGGGGGAGAAAAGGGAGUGACAGAGGUAGAGAUGAUUGUUGGAGAGGGAAUUGGGGAUGUGAAGGAGGAGAGGAGGAUGCUGUGCAGCCAGGAUGUCCAGACUGUCCGUGGCCCUGACAUUUCCCCCUUGUCUCAGCACAAUCUCAGGCCUCCUGCUGAACAACACCCCCUCCUCCUCCCCCCCACACACAGAUAACACACUCCCACACAGCAUGAGGGAGUAACACACCAAGGGCGAAACAUCCCAGACCUCCAGAGUCAC